UACAGAGGGGGCAAGCGUUGUUCGGAAUUACUGGGCGUAAAGGGCGCGUAGGCGGCCUGUUAAGUCGGACGUGAAAACCCGUGGCUCAACCAUGUGGUCUGCAGUCGAUACGGGCAGGCUAGAAUUCGGUAGGGGAGACUGGAAUUCCUGGUGUAGCGGUGAAAUGCGCAGAUAUCAGGAGGAACACCGGUGGCGAAGGCGGGUCUCUGGGCCGAUAUUGACGCUGAGGAGCGAAAGCGUGGGGAGCGAACAGG
rnacentral:rRNA from 1 species